rnacentral:rRNA from 1 species
CGUGUAGGCGGUCUCGCAAGUCGGAUGUGAAAGCCCUCGGCUUAACCGAGGAAGUGCGUUCGAAACUACGUGACUUGAGUGCCGGAGAGGGUGGCGGAAUUCCCGGUGUAGAGGUGAAAUUCGUAGAUAUCGGGAGGAACACCAGUGGCGAAGGCGGCCACCUGGACGGUAACUGACGCUGAGACGCGAAAGCGUGGGGAGCAAACA